GAGGACCGUAUUCAUGGAAGAGGAUUGAACAGACUACUGAGUUCUUAAGAGAAAAAUGGCACUUAAGAAAUUGGUGGUGAUAUCAAAGGAAGGUUACUUAUUACUCUUGGACUUUGAUGAUGAGGACGAUGACAUAAAAGUUUCAGAGGAGGCUCUUGCGGAAGUAAAGAGCCCAGGAUUUGAUAAAAAUGAGAAUAUAUCGCCUCAAGCAGAAGCAGAUGAAUAUAUGGGAGAUGAAGUAGACAGUAUGUUGGAUAAAUCUGGAGUAAAGAACCCAGCAAUUGGUAAAGAUGAGAAUAUAUCGCCUCAAGUAAAAGGAGAUGAAGACAUGGGAGAUGAAAUUGACAGUAUGUUGGCUACAUCUGGAGGUCUUUUCUCCUGAGAACACGGGACUCCAGCAUCUUCGGAUUCUGCUCUUGGAGGGGUUUGCCCCACAUCCUCUAUAUUGCAGAAAACAAGACUAGGCUCUACCUCUGUAGAUCAAGCACGACUGAAAUCCGUGCUCUCAAAAGAUGCUGGGGAGAAAGAGUGCCAUUCUUCACAAAUGCUGCUGCAUCAUUGGACUGAAAGUGAAUGGCCCAUGUGUUGCCACUGAUGUGAGCCAUUUGCCUGUUGUGCUUCA
rnacentral:precursor_RNA from 1 species